rnacentral:rRNA from 1 species
GACGAACGCUGGCGGCGUGCUUAACACAUGCAAGUCGAACGGAAAGGCCCCUUUGGGGGUACUCGAGUGGCGAACGGGUGAGUAACACGUGAGUAACCUGCCCUUGACUUCGGGAUAACUUCAGGAAACUGGGGCUAAUACCGGAUAGGAAUCCUUGCUGCAUGGUGGGGGUUGGAAAGCUUCGGCGGUUUUGGAUGGACUCGCGGCUUAUCAGCUCGUUGGUGGGGUAGUGGCUUACCAAGGCUUUGACGGGUAGCCGGCCUGAGAGGGCGACCGGCCACUUGGGACUGAGAUACGGCCCAGACUCCUACGGGAGGCAGCAGUGGGGAAUAUUGCACAAUGGGCGGAAGCCUGAUGCAGCAACGCCGCGUGCGGGAUGACGGCCUUCGGGUUGUAAACCGCUUUCAGCAGGGGCGAAGCUUGUGGUGACGGUACCUGCAGAAGAAGCACCGGCUAACUACGUG